UAGUUUUGAGUUUUUCCAGAAGUAGGCCCAGAGACAAGGAUUCCAGAGCAAGUAUAUUGAUUUAGGUUGUCGGGAACAGGUAGAAGAACGUGAAAGAAAAGGAAAGCAACCAACAAAGGGUAGAUUGUCAAGCCAGCUACCAGGAGGGUAACUGGAGUUUAAUGCCGUGGGGAAAUUUUGACACACCCUGCAAAAUGCACUCGGAGGGUUACUGCACCCCAAGGGCAGGAGAGCUGGAAAGUUUAUACAUCAAGUCAUUGGCUCACCAGGCAUUGGCUGGGGAUUCAGGAGUGGGUGCUUCAUCUGUUUCCCCCCAUCGCUUGGUAGAUGCAGCGUCCAGCAGUCAGAAACCCGGAAGUCGGCAGGAGCUCACUGCAGUCGUGGAGUUCCAAGGGAUGGUAGCGUACUGGGUCAGCUGCAGUCUGGUUACGACACUAAAUGCAAGUAACCAUGACCAAUUCUGAAAUAAGUAUUUGGUGGUUGUAAAAAAUGCAGAGGAUAAACUGGCUCACAGCUCCAGAUUAAAUGAGUAAUACUGGAAAGUGAUGAAGCGCUGAGAAGACAGAACAAGGUACACAGCACUGGAGAGAAGCAGAGCUAAGGAGGUGAAGUGUCUGUCUGUCUUGCUGAAAGCAGCUGGGAGUGGGAAAAAAUAGUCUUGUCCACUUUUGGCUAUCUCAAGAUGAACAUGGAGCUCUCCAGCAGAGGAAAUGUCUAGGAGGAUAAGGUGACAUCUAUCAAGUGAACCUACUAUGCGAACACAUCUGCUGAUAGGCCUGACCCAUUUCUAUCAUCUGAGAAUCUCAAGUAGCUUGUCCACCAGCCACAGACCUGGGAAGAUCAGAAAACCCAUUGGUUUAAGCUACAAAUAGAGAAGAUGUUGAAACACAGAGAAGGCGUAAGAACUAAAGGGAGACACAACCAAGAAGAAGCAAAGAUGGAAGACCAUGCAAGAGUGGACUGAGCACAGAGUGGGAGGGUGAGAGCAAGGUUCUUGGUGUCAGGGAAUGACUGAAAAGAAUAAAGCCAAAGAACUCGUACUCAAGGAGACGGAAGCCUCAAGAGGGCCGAAGCAAUGGAAGCUUGACUUAGGGUGGGGGUGUCCUUCAACUUUGUGGAAUUAUGCUACAAGGCUGUAUUUGCCAAUUUUCACACUGCUAUAAAGAACUAUCUGAAGCUGGGUAAUUUAUAAAGAAAAGAGGUUUAAGUGACUCACAGCUCCGCAUGGCUGGGGAGGCAUCAUGAAACUUACAAUCAUGGCGGAAGGUAAAGGGGAAGCAAGGCACGUCUUAUAUGGUGGCAGGAGAGAGCAAGAGUGAGGAAGUGCCACACAUUAAAACCAUCAGCCCUGGUGAGAACUCACUCACUCUCAUGAGAACAGCAGGAAGAAAGCUGCCCCCAUGAUCUGAUAACCUCCCGCCAGGUCCCUCCCUCAACACAUGGGGAUUACAAUUCAAGAUGAGAAUAGGGUGGGGACACAGAGCCAAACUCUAUCAAAGGCAUUCUGCUGAUCCCUACCACCUGCCAGGCCCUGUCCAUUGUCUGCAGCAUGAGCCAUAAGUAUCAGCCCAUCAAAAAUGUUCAUUCCCACCUCCCAGCUUCAUCCUUGUACCUCCACUUCCUGUCCUGAAAGAGUUGGAGUUAAGUGGUGAACUUAAUACAAUUUGGGGUGAGGGUUGAGGGGGCAGAGUGGGCAGAAGGGGGAAACAAGCAGAAGAUUUAAAAUGAGAAGGCUGAGGCUUUAGUUCCAGUCCUAAAAUCUAGGUGACUUUGGGCAAGUUGUUCCUCCUCUCUCGUCCCUUAUUAGUUCCUAUUUAAAUGUCGGCAUUGAAGUUAAUCUUCUUGAGGUCUGUUCCAGCUCUAAUGGAUGUUUUCUAAGGCAGUCUAAUACAAUAGAUACAAGCAUGCUUUUCAUACGUAAAAGCUACUGUUGAUUCAUUUGAUAAUAAAAUUCACACAUAAAAGCUAUUAGUGAUUAAUUUAAUAAAAUUCCAGGCUUUAAAUCCAUACUGGUUUAGCUUGAAGUAUGGAGGUGUGAAUUUAGGUAGUGUGUCAGGGAGAUUACUCAUCCCAGACAGGUGGUUUGGGUGUUUCCCAGCAGGGGCAAUCAGACCUGUCUGGGUCAUUCAGCCACCCACCACAUAUCUGCAGAGCACAGACUCACGCUUGAGUCAGAUGCUCCCAGAUCACCAUACUCUAACAAUUAGCCACACCACAGCCAUUUGUCUUAAAUUAACUUAGAGCGUGUUAGCUGAAGCCUAAUUAAACAUUGGCAGUUGCUUAGGAAAAACAAUUAAAAAGUCACUCAGCAAUACCAUCUUGUCAUUACAGAAAGCUUUAAUAGGCGGGACUUGCAAAAUAUGGAAAAUCUUUCCCUCACAUGUGUGUUGGCUUCCGCAAUAGCUAAUGGACUCAUCUAGAAUAACACCCUGCCAAGGGUCUUUGAUGGGACAGCUGUUCUCACAAGGCAGCUCUCAGGAAUAUCAGGUGUUCAGGGUUUUUUCUACAGCUGGCAGUAAACAAAAAAAGAAAAGCAAAUUUUGUUUUAUUCAUCACAACAGCUGGAGAAUGUAUAGAAAAUAUUCAAACCACAAAAUAACAAAUGCAAUCCAAACAUCCCCAAUUACUUCUAAAUUCUUUCUUCCACUCUACAGGCCUUUCUCUUACUUUGUAGGCAUUUGGUGGGGUUUUCCUACCUACCCGUUUCCCAAUCUCAGUUAUUUCUGACACACUGUUGCUCCCUCAAAAUUGAAAAUUAUCCCCUCCCACUAUGCUUUGGUGCUUAAGAUUCUGAAUAUAAAGCAAUAUGACCAGCACCAUCCCUGGGCUUUCCAAAAAUGGCCUAGAGAAAAAGGCUUGUCAAAUGAAUUCUUAGUUUUUCUUGUCAGGCUGUGCUUAUGUCUCUCUUGACCUCCUGACCUGUGUAAGUUGUCUAAGGUAUUCAUUGCUUUGAGCUGUCCCUAUAAAAGUAUCAACUUGAUGCUGGUUCUGUGGUAAAUAAGAAAUAAGAAAAUCAAGUCACUGUCUCCCAAAAAGCAAUUCAGUGGCUCAGCUGAAUCUCUUCCUCCUGGUGUUUCCAUGGAACCGAAGUGGACUGGCUCUGCCAACUUCUUUUGCCUUGAUUCCUCACUCUUUCAGCUGAUGAUAGAAUCAUUUUUGUCCCCAAAACUCACACAGGCACUAGAUUUGGGGUAUUGACUAUGUUACCAGGGAAAGCCUUCCACUGCCAUGUAGUGGGGAGUUUCCUCAGAAAGUAUAUGAAGGCCAAAGAAAGUAGGGAGGGUCCCUGCAAAUCCGCAGCAAGCCUUGCCUAAACAAAGGGAAAAGGAGGGUGCUUGGGGGUCGGGGGGCAGGUAGAGGAGGCCUCAGAUACGAUUUGAUAUCCUGUAAUCCACGGUAGGUGGCCUCUGAACUCUGCCCUGAAAAAUCUGUCAUGUUGAGACAGAAAGACACCCUGAGGAUGAGCACAUGUAGAUCUCUGAUCUCUAAGUCUCUUGCUGGACGCAUCCAAGACAAUGUGGAAUAAAGUAGCAGUUCAGGAAGUGUGUUUCCAUGCACUAGUGAAAGGUGAAAAUAUGAAAUAAACUACCCUGGGUUGGUCUUUCAUGCCUACUUUUGUAUUUUUUUAUUUACUUUUGUCAUGUUUUUUGAUAUAUAAUUGUUUGAAAUUUGUAUCCAUGCAAUGUUCCAGCACUGGGAAUUAUGAGAAUGGUUCUGGACCCUACAAAAUCAAUUGACAUGAUUUUUCACUUAGAGCAAGACCACAUCUUCUGGGCAGGCCCAGUGGCUCAUGCUUGUAAUCCCAGCACUUGAGACUAAGACGGGAGGAUCACAUCAGUCCAGGAGUUCAAGACCAGCAGGGUAACAGAGGGAGAACACCCACUCUCUAAAAAAGACUUUUAAACAUUAGCUGGGCAUACUGGUGCAUGCCUCUAGUCCCAGCUCCUCAGGAGGCUGUGGUGGGAGGAUAGCUUGGGCCUGGGUGGUUGAGGCUGCAAUGAGCCAUGAUCGUGCCACUGCACUCCAGUCUGAGCAACAGAGUGAGCCUCUGUCUCAAAAAAAAUAAAAUAAAAUAAAGACAACAUCUGAUUUUGUUCAGUUCACUUUCACCCUACACUGAGUAAAUCUCCAGAAAGAAAUCUAAGGACUACGUAAUCAGUCAAUCCACUCAACCCACAACGCUACUGGAGUACACUCAUUAAGCCUCAAGAGACCUGUAAAGAAAAGGUCAUCCAAAA
rnacentral:lncRNA from 10 species